UACGUAGGGUGCGAGCGUUGUCCGGAAUUAUUGGGCGUAAAGAGCUCGUAGGCGGUUUGUUACGUCUGCUGUGAAAUCCCGAGGCUCAACCUCGGGCCUGCAGUGGGUACGGGCAGACUGGAGUGCGGUAGGGGAGAAUGGAAUUCCUGGUGUAGCGGUGGAAUGCGCAGAUAUCAGGAGGAACACCGAUGGCGAAGGCAGUUCUCUGGGCCGUAACUGACGCUGAGGAGCGAAAGCGUGGGGAGCAAACGGG
rnacentral:rRNA from 1 species